rnacentral:rRNA from 1 species
CCUACGGGAGGCAGCAGUGGGGAAUAUUGGGCAAUGGGCGCAAGCCUGACCCAGCAACGCCGCGUGAAGGAAGACGGCUUUCGGGUUGUAAACUUCUUUUCUGAGGGACGAAGAAAGUGACGGUCCCUCAGGAAUAAGCCACGGCUAACUACGUGCCAGCAGCCGCGGUAAUACGUAGGUGGCAAGCGUGUUCCGGAUUUUUUGGGUGUAAAGGGCGAGUAGGCGGGAAAGCAAGUCAGAUGUGAAAACUCAGGGCUCAACCCUGAGCCUGCAUUUGAAACUGUUUGUCUUGAGUGCUGGAGAGGCAAGCGGAAUUCCGUGUGUAGCGGUGAAAUGCGUAGAUAUACGGAGGAACACCAGUGGCGAAGGCGGAUUGCUGGACAGUAACUGACGCUGGGGCGCGAAAGCGUGGGGAGCAAACAGGAUUAGAUACCCUAGUAGUC